AAUAGAUACCCUGGUAGUCCACGCCGUAAACGAUGGGCACUAGGUCCUUGGGGGAGCGACCCCUUGAGGGCCGGCGCAAACGCAUUAAGUGCCCCGCCUGGGGAGUACGGCCGCAAGGCUGAAACUCAAAGGAAUUGACGGGGGCCCGCACAGGCGGUGGAGCAUGUGGUUUAAUUCGACGCAACGCGAAGAACCUUACCUGGGCUUGACAUGGCCGGGAAUUUCCGGGGAAACCUGGAAAGCUCUUCGGAGCUCGGUCACAGGUGCUGCAUGGCUGUCGUCAGCUCGUGUCGUGAGAUGUUGGGUUAAGUCCCGCAACGAGCGCAACCCUUGUCACUAGUUACCAGCGGGUAAAGCCGGGAACUCUAGUGAGACUGCCGGUGCCAAACCGGAGGAAGGUGGGAACGACGUCAAGUCAUCAUGGUCCUUACGUCCAGGGCUACACACGUGCUACAAUGGAUGGGACAAUGGGUCGCCAAAGCGCAAGCUGGAGCCAAUCCCAUAAAUCCAUCCUCAGUUCGGAUUGUCGUCUGCAACUCGACGGC
rnacentral:rRNA from 1 species